rnacentral:rRNA from 1 species
AGUGAGCGGCAGAGCCUCAAAUUUGAAAAGCUGGCUCCUUCGGAGUCCGCAUUGUAAUUAGAAAGAGGAUGGUUUGGGUGCGGCCCCCGGCUAAGUGCCCUGGAACUUUUCCGUCAGAGAGGGUGAGAAUCCCGUCUUGGGCGGGGUGUCCGUGCCCGUGUAAAGCUCCUUCGACGAGUCGAGUUGUUUGGGAAUGCAGCUCUAAAUGGGUGGUAAAUUUCAUCUAAAGCUAAAUACUGGCCGGAGACCGAUAGCGCACAAGUAGAGUGAUCGAAAGAUGAAAAGCACUUUGAAAAGAGAGUUAAACAGCACGUGAAAUUGUUGAAAGGGAAGCGCUUGCGACCAGACUCGCCCGCGGGGUUCAGCCGGCAUUCGUGCCGGUGUACUUCCCCGUGGGCGGGCCAGCGUCGGUUUGGGCGGCCGGUCAAAGGCCCCUGGAAUGUAGUACCCUCCGGGGUACCUUAUAGCCAGGGGUGCAAUGCGGCCAGCCUGGACCGAGGAACGCGCUUCGGCACGGACGCUGGCAUAAUGGUCGUAAACGACCCGUCUUGAAACCACGGAC